rnacentral:misc_RNA from 1 species
GGACCUUCUCGCCUUAAGGGCGCCAAGCGCUUUUGACAACACUGCAAAAAUUACAAAAAAUUUCCUCCUUUUUUACCUUUUUUUUUUAAUUCAUGAUCUCCAACUUACAAUUGAUGUUAACAGAAAAUAUUGAGAACUUGCCAGCCUAAAAGAUAGAUCAAAUUGCACGAAUUAAAGAACCCCGCACUAAUUUCAAACAUAGCCUCAAACAUAUGUAUUACUCUCUCUCUCUCCCUAUCACCAUCUCUCCGCCAUGUACAUUAUAGCCAUCUCCAACUUCUUAUGUCUAUUAUACUGCAGACUAACUUGUCAGCAUCUCAAUUACCCAGUCACCUACAUAAACUCUGCUGCAAUCUGGGAAGACACCACAGUCUACAAAGGUGGCCAUGCCCCAAGCCAAACUAUCCAAAAUCAAACCCAUCAAUAAAUAUUGGUUGCACAUGACAAUCAAACUCUCCAACUCUUUGUGCCUGGUUCAUAGUUUUAAAUAACAGUCAUUACGUUAUAGGUUUCUUAGCCUUCCGUUAGUGUGACACCAGUUAUUUAAAGGCCCAAAAAAAAUGUACCUGCAACAGCCAUUACGGCCUUUACAUAACAGUAACAGCCGCUAUUUACUGCUAAAUAAUGGUAAAGUUCUUUCAACUCAUUUUGUUUUUUUUUGUCCACAUGGGGGCAGCAGCUCUUCCUCAUGUUUUGUUUCUG